ACGACACUGGUGCCUGCAGCCGUGCCAGCUAGGAGGGCGACGUGGACAGGAUUUCUCUCUAGAAAGGAUCCUGGGGUCCGAUUGAGAAGCUGGCUUGAACGUUAGACGCUGUAGCUCAGAGCACUGGGUAUGCACCCAGAAGGAGAAGUGCUCAUCACAUGAGUCUAAAACAAUGACUGGCAUGAAGUAUACAAACUAUACAUCGCCUAGUAAGUGGAUAAAACGAUUAAUUAAUUUGCCCAACAUUCAAAACGUGAUGGGGUGGGAUUCACAGCCAUGACUUCUCAUUGCAACGCUCAAGCUCCUUGUGCUGCUCCACGCCGCCUUUCGGUACACGAGAAGCUGAGGAUCCACGCCGCCUUUCCGUACAUGAGAAACUGUAGGAUCCACGCCACCUUUCAGUAGAGAAGCUGUAGGAUCCACACCGCCUUUCCGUACACGAGAAG
rnacentral:lncRNA from 1 species